AACCACCGGGCUGUUGGCGUUUGGGGCAAGAAGGUUUUUAGAGCGUGCGGAGGGGUCAUGUCGUGUAGUAAAUAAGCAAUGUCUAGCGGCAUCCUUGGGCUGUACCUACUAAAUGCCACCAGCAUCCCCUCCUUCCCCAACUCUGACAAUCCAAAACGUCCCCACACUUUGCCACGUACCUGUGUGGUGGUGGCGAGGGGAGGAAAAUCGCCAAUAUCGACAUAAGCCAUAUGACAUCGGAUUCACGUACAAGGAUCAUCAUUAGGAAAUGUGACAUUGCUACAUCACUGUAAUCAGGAUGUUCUCAACAUCAGUUGAUAUUUUCAUUUGAUUCAAGCUCCAUUUAAUAGAAAAUUUCAAAAUUUUAAGGCUGUCACAGUGAAAUAUUGUCUACCCAAGGCACAACUCCUAUAGAAAAUUGAACCGAGCAUUAUAAAAUAGGACACAAAGCAAAAGACUUCAUCUGAGAGCUGAGAUCAUCUUGCUGGCAGGGAACAGAUGAUUAUGAGACCUGUUUUUCAAAAGGAAGCUUAAAUUUAGUUAUUCUUUUAGAGUGAAGAAUGAAUUUACUAUUGUCUUUUCACAUAAAAUUCAUAGCUUAUUGAAAUCUGUUUUUGCCUUUUUAAUUGUUGCAAUCCAGGUUGCUCCUGUUUAAUUGUCUUGGUUAAAUUAUAUACUGAUAUCAAACAAAUUACCAACACCAAUUUCUAACAAAACUGUAACUAUAAAUGAUUCCAAAAUUUCAUUGAGUCCCUGAGAAGUGACUCUGUAAGUGUACUAUGGGAUGUACUAUAGAGGAAUUAUUUUCUGUUAGGUGGUAGUAGUGGGAGUUAGGAUAGUAGAAGCUCACAGGGUUGAAGAAACAUGUUGACAAUAGCAAUAUAUAGUUUUAAGGCCUGUUUUAAUUCUCAUGUUUUGUGAUUUUCUUGAAUAUAAGACAUAGCCUAAAGUAUAUUUUUAAAAAGUGAAAAUGUUCUAGUUUUGUAUAUGAGGUGGCUUACUGUCUAAUAUGAUUACCAAGAAGCAUGCUGUCAAGGCUUCAUUGUGUAGGGUGCUAAGUCAGGGGCUGAUAAGCACCAACUGUAUCCUCAUCUUGAAGAUGUUUAUAAUAGAAUGUGAGAAGAAUAAUAAAAAAGUCCAAAACAGAAUUGAAAGCAAAGGUAAGAUGUUUAAAAUUUUAGUUCUGUUUUAGUAAAGUGUCUUUUAGGAGCCUUUAUUAGUGCAGGGCAGAGGGGUUAAAACUGUUAAAAACAAUAAACAUUUGUCUCAAAUUAUCUAGCUUAAAACU